GACGAACGCUGGCGGCGUGCUUAACACAUGCAAGUCGAACGGGAAGGCCCUUCGGGGUACACGAGUGGCGAACGGGUGAGUAACACGUGGGUGAUCUGCCCUGCACUUCGGGAUAAGCCUGGGAAACUGGGUCUAAUACCGGAUAGGACUCCUGGCUUCAUGUGUGGGGGUGGAAAGCUUUUGCGGUGUGGGAUGGGCGCGUGGCCGAUCAGCGUGUGGGUGGGGUAAUGGCCUACCAAGGCGACGACGGGUAGCCGGCCUGAGAGGGUGACCGGUCACACUGGGACUGAGAUACGGCCCAGACUCCUACGGGAGGCAGCAGUGGGGAAUAUUGCACAAUGGGCGCAAGCCUGAUGCAGCGACGCCGCGUGAGGGAUGACGGCCUUCGGGUUGUAAACCUCUUUCAGCUAUGACGAAGCGCAAGUGACGGUAGUAGCAGAAGAAGGACCGGCCAACUACGUGCCAGCAGCCGCCGUAA
rnacentral:rRNA from 1 species